GCAUUUGGCUGGAUCUGGAAAACCAAAUGUACAAUGCAGUGGAAGGUAUUCUUGUGGUUGCUGAUGGCUGAUAGAUUGAACACUAGAAAUAUGCUCCGGAGAAGACAUUAUAAAGUCCAGAACGAUGACUACACCUGCCUUCUCUGCCACCACCCGACUGAGGAAGACAUGGUUCACCUCUUCUUUACCUGCCCCUUCAGUCAGAGAUGCUGGGAUGCUUGGGGGAUGCAAUGGCCAAAUGACACUGACUGGUUCAGAAUGCUGCAUGAGGGCAGAGCCAGAUGGGCUCGGCCGAUGUUCUUGGAAGUUUUUGCAGUGGCAGCUUGGGGGAUCUGGAAGGAGAGAAAUUAUUAA
rnacentral:rRNA from 1 species